CAUUUCCUUCGGGGUCGGGUGAAAUUCCCAACCGGCGGUGAUGCUUGAAGCGGCUGAACUGCCGAGGCAAGCUAAGUCCGUGACCCGAUAUGCCGAGUGUUUCUGUUCGGUGUAGCGGUGGACUCGGUGUGAAUCCGAGACCGACAGUACAGUCUGGAUGGGAGAAGGAAAAC
rnacentral:ncRNA from 1 species